rnacentral:rRNA from 1 species
AUUGAACGCUGGCGGCAUGCUUUACACAUGCAAGUCGAACGGUAACAGGCCUUCGGGUGCUGACGAGUGGCGAACGGGUGAGUAAUGCAUCGGAACGUGCCCAAUCGUGGGGGAUAACGUAGCGAAAGUUACGCUAAUACCGCAUAAGCCCUGAGGGGGAAAGCAGGGGAUCGCAAGACCUUGCGCGAAUGGAGCGGCCGAUGUCAGAUUAGCUAGUUGGUGGGGUAAAGGCCUACCAAGGCGACGAUCUGUAGCGGGUCUGAGAGGAUGAUCCGCCACACUGGGACUGAGACACGGCCCAGACUCCUACGGGAGGCAGCAGUGGGGAAUUUUGGACAAUGGGCGCAAGCCUGAUCCAGCCAUGCCGCGUGCGGGACGAAGGCCUCGGUUGUAAA